rnacentral:rRNA from 1 species
AUUGAACACUGGCGGAAUGCUUUACACAUGCAAGUCGAGCGGCAGCGCGGCCUUCGGGCUGGCGGCGAGCGGCGAACGGGUGAGUAAUGCAUCGGAACAUGCCCAGUCGUGGGGGAUAACACUUCGAAAGAAGUGCUAAUACCGCAUACGUCCUGAGGGGGAAAGCGGGGGAUCGCAAGACCUCGCGCGAUUGGAGUGGCCGAUGUCAGAUUAGCUAGUUGGUGGGGUAAAGGCCUACCAAGGCGACGAUCUGUAGCUGGUCUGAGAGGAUGAUCAGCCACACUGGGACUGAGACACGGCCCAGACUCCUACGGGAGGCAGCAGUGGGGAAUUUUGGACAAUGGGGGCAACCCUGAUCCAGCCAUUCCGCGUGAGUGAAGAAGGCCUUCGGGUUGUAAAGCUCUUUCGGCAGGAACGAAACGGUGGGCUCUAACAUAGUCCGCUAAUGACGGUACCUGAAGAAGAAGCACCGGCUAACUACGUG